AGGACAAACGCUGGCGGCGUGCCUAAGACAUGCAAGUCGAACGGAAGGCUUCGGCCUUGAGUGGCGGACGGGUGAGGAGCGCGUGGAGAACCUGCCCCGGGGUGGGGGAUAACAGUCGGAAACGAUUGCUAAGACCGCAUACGACCAUUCGUUGCAGGAUGAAUGGGGAAAGCAGCGAUGUGCCCUGGGAGGGCUCCGCGUCGGAUUAGCUAGUUGGUGGGGUAACGGCCUACCAAGGCUGCGAUCCGUAGCCGGACUGAGAGGUUGGCCGGCCACAUUGGGACUGAGACACUGCCCAGACUCCUACGGGGGGCUGCAGUAACGAAUCUUCCGCAAUGCACGCAAGUGUGACGGAGCGACGCCGCGUGUGGGACGAAGCCCUUCGGGGUGUAAACCACUGUCAGGGGAUAGAAAGUUCUGAUCAUCCCCAGAGGAAGGCACGGCUAACUCUGUGCCAGCAGCCGC
rnacentral:rRNA from 1 species